GCCGGGGGUUGUAGCGUAUCCCUGUCACCCGAGCGGGGGCUGAUGUUGCGAAGCGUCGCAUGAUUCUUCCGGUCUAGCAGUUCGCGUCGAGGGCGUGUCCUCUCUGAGCGUACAGUUGGCAACGUGGCUUCCCUGACGGGUGGUCCUCGUGGUCGGAUGAAUAGCCUGGCACCGCGUGAGGCAGGAAACUGAGCAGCGAAAACGGGCAGCUGCGCGCGGCAGAAGGAUAGCAUGCCUGAGUGAGCGGCUAGGCCACCCGGAAGGUCCUCUGAGGGGCGACCAACGUUUUG
rnacentral:SRP_RNA from 1 species